rnacentral:rRNA from 1 species
CGGUUGAUCCUGCCGGACCCGACUGCUAUUUGGGUGAGAAUAAGCCAUGCGAGUUGAAUGGGAUACCUAAAGUUCCCAUAGCAAACUGCUCAGUAACACAUGAUCAACUUACCCUAUAGAGAAAAAUAACCUCGGGAAACUGAGGAUAAUGUUUCAUAAUUGAAUUGGCUUGGAAAAGUUUUUCAAUGAAAGGGAUAAAAAAAUGGUUUUUAUCUGCUAUAGGAUAGGAUCGUGUUCGAUUAUGGUUGUUGGUGAGAUAAUGGCUCACCAAGCCGAUAAUCGAUAGGGGCCGUGAGAGCGGGAGCCCCGAGAUGGGUACUGAGACAACGACCCAGGCCUUACGAGGCGCAGCAGGCGCGGAACCUCCGCAAUACACGAAAGUGUGACGGGGUUACCCAAAGUGUUCAAUAGAACUGUGGUAGGUGAGUAAUGUCCCCUACUAGAAAGGAGAGGGCAAGGCUGGUGCCAGCCGCCGCGGUAAAACCAGCUCUUCAAGUGGUCGGGAUUAUUAUUGGGCUUAAAGUGUCCGUAGCCGGUUUAGUAAGUUCCUGGUAAAAUCGGGUAGCUUAACUAUCUGCAUGCUAGGAAUACUGCUAUACUAGAGGGCGGGAGAGGUCUGAGGUACUACAGGGGUAGGGGUGAAAUCUUAUAAUCCUUGUAGGACCACCAGUGGCGAANGCGUCAGACUGGAACGCGCCUGACGGUGAGGGACGAAAGCCAGGGGAGCGAACCGGAUUAGAUACCCGGGUAGUCCUGGCCGUAAACGAUGCAUACUANGUGAUGGUACGGCCAUGAGCCGUAUCANUGCCGUANGGAAACCGUUAAGUGUGCCGCCUGGGAAGUACNGUCGCANGCUAAAACUUANANNNNUUGUCGGGGGAGCAC